rnacentral:rRNA from 1 species
GACGAACGUUGGCGGCGUGCUUAAUACAUGCAAGUCAACUGAAGCAGUGGUAGCAAUAUCGCUGUGGAGGUGGCGCACGGGUGAGUAACACGUAGGUAAUCUGCCUUCAGGUCUGGCAUAACUCCGGGAAACCGGGGCUAAUAGCAGAUGAUGCAGCGGCUCGACAUCGAGACAGUUGUUAAAGCUAUGGCGCCUGAAGAUGAGCCUGCGUCUGAUUAGCUAGUUGGCGGGGUAACGGCCCACCAAGGCAACGAUCAGUAGCUGGUCUGAGAGGAUGAUCAGCAACACUGGAACUGAGACACGGUCCAGACUACUACGGGAGGCAGCAGUAAGGAAUAUUGCUCAAUGGGAGAAAUCCUGAAGCAGCAACGCCGCGUGAGGGACGAAGGGCUUUUGCUUGUAAACCUCUGUAGUGAGAGAAAAAAAUCCCAAUCUUUGGGACAUGAUGGUAUCUCAAAAGUAAGCCCCGGCUAACUACGUG